UGAAACUUUGACUCAUUUUAGGUGAGGAUUACUUUCUUUCGCAAAUUUUAAUGGAAUUCUUAAAGAAGUACAAGAAAAAUCACAGAUCUAAGGCAACUAUCUUAAAUUCUUAACUAAAUGUAACUUUCUAUUAUGCAUUGGUAAGCAUAACCUCUCAAAAACUUUAAUUGUUUUGUUUCCCUACAAUUGGCACAAUCACACAAAAUGGCGGCCCCCUAUUAGUGGUCAUUUAUUUUUCAUUGAAUUGGCAGUCCAGGUAAAUAAUAUAUAUCUAGAUAUCUAUAACAAUCUAAGGAAUGAUACUCAGUUCACAAAUGAUUGUAGUGCUUUGCAAAAAAUAGCGUUAUUAACAGAGGUUCCCUAUAGUACAAUAUGCCUGUAAAAAAAAGGAUUAAAGACAGAAUAAAAAGGAAAGAUGCAGGACAAUCAAAGGGACUUGACAUGGAUAUUGCCAAAUUGCUAAGGAAAGGUGUGUAUUCUAAAUACAAAAACAAUGAGGUUCUGACCAUAGAGACACCUUAUUGGCAAGGGACAAACAUUUCUCAGUCUCAACCUUGCGGAGAUACCUGAUAAAACUUGGAUUUAAACUUAAGAUGGUUAACAAAAGAGCUGCUGUAAUGGAAUUGUCAGGUGGUGUAUAGAAUAUUUGAGGAAAAUUAAAAAAAUUUGGGAGGAAGAAAGAUCCAUAUAUUAUUUAGCCGAAACAUGAUAUGAUACAUUUAUGAUUGAUGUAUGAUUUCCAUUCUCUGGGAAAAAAGUCCCUUUUUUGCCAUACUUACUGCCCCUGUUGUCUUUCAGUGAUACAAUAAAGACUGCUUCUUCCACCAUUCUCUGGGAAAAACCCUUUUUUGCUAUGCUUACUACCCCUGUUGUCCUUCAGCAACACAAUGAAGACUGCUUCUUCCUCCAUUCUCUGGAAAAAAAUCCCUUUUUUGCCAUACUUACUGCCCCUGUUUGUCCUUCAGCGACACAAUAAAGUAUAUAUAAUGUAAUGCUGAUGUGCGAGAUGAAGUUGGAAUCCAUGGCGGCAACAGAGAAACUGUUUCCUUCCUUAAUGGAAGAAACUGCUAAAAAACAAUGGCAAAAAAACAUAAUUUACAAAAUUUGUAUGAACUUUUUGGGCCAGAUUCAAAAGAGUGGUUAAAUUUAUAAAAGUAUUUAGUAUCCUCACUGUAGUUUUAGGAUCCAGUAUACUUAAAAUGUAGUGU